GAGCUUCAGAUUUCCGGGACUGCAGUGUUGUAACAGAUGGCCCUAGUGAUGUCGAAACUGGACUCGGUUCUUCUCUGCCGCUCCUGGAAUCUUGUAUAACCACUAUGGAAUGAAUGUUCAGUGCUGGUAGUCUCAACAGGAAAGAGAUGCUCACAUUUCCUGCUCUAAUGAAUAAAGCAGGACAUACCUGUUGUCACAGUCACAGUGUGAUAAAGUGAAGAUGUUCGUGUUGAAGACACCGUGGUCGUAUGAAAAAGAGGCAAUGGUGUCUUUACAGUGGUCGUGUUCUCUGCAGCAUUUAUCCGUAUCUUCAAAGACACCUACAGAAGACAAGCGAACAAGUCACCAAAGGCCAUAGCCUUAUUUCCUGAUCCACACCACAGAGUCCCGGGAAUCAUCCAUGCUCGCUUUGAGCGGUGCAGCGUCUGUCUGGAACUUUCUCCACUGUCCUGGUCCUCCAAUCCAUCAGGUUCCACGCUUC